rnacentral:lncRNA from 1 species
GGGUGACAGGGUUUAUGGAUGACGGGGUGAAUUAACUGGAAUACCAACCUGACCAGGGGCUUUGGAAGAGUAAUUGCACCCGAUUACUCAACUGAAUCUCCUCCGACACAGAAAAGAUUUAAAUAUUUCAAAAUGUUCAUUUAAAAUAUUCAACACCGAAAGUAAAAAUAUACAUCCAGGAACGGCUUCGGACGGAGGUCUGACACGGUGUACACAAAGAAAGGAGCCCGUCCAGUACGCUGAGAUGAGUGUGUUCCCAGGGAGAGGCCUCAUGGGUAGGAUGUUGUGCAUCUGUUGGCAGCGCUGUUCCCGGGGGAUCUGAACACAGAAGGUGCUGUGUUGACAAAAUGAAUCAGAAGGCGUGAGUGAGGACAGCGAGCGUUCUGCUGAUGCCAGCGCGUCUCCGGCCGCGUUCUGCUGAAGAAAGGGAAAACCGGCGCCGAGGAAAAUAUGAAUCGGAGAACAAAGAAGGUUCUGCCGCCGCGAUGCCCUUCAGACGCUCGCAGAGGACGGGACAUCACAACAACGAGCGCCUUCUCACUGCCCCGACGACCUCUGCUGUCGGGAGAUCUCCACAUGGCUUUCUGUGGCGUCUAUCUAUCUAUCUAUUCAUCUGUUUGUCCGUCUGUCUGUCUGUCUGUCUGUCUGUCUAUUCAUCCAUCUGGGUUUGUCUAUCCUCUAUCCUGUGUGUGUGUGUGUGUGUGUGUGUGUGUGUGUGUGUGUGUGUGUGUGUGUGUGUGUGUGUGUGUGUGUGUGUGUGUGUGUGUGUGUGUGUGUGUGUGUGUGUGUGUGUGUGUGUAAUGGGGUUGAACCUGAAUCCUGGAGCAGAACUCCUUGCUGCUGCCUGCUCCCACUGCUCCAUGCAACGACCCCCACUGGAUAAAGUGUCUGCCCAACGACUCAACAGCAGACGGACAAAGGUUUAACAUCGCCACGGCAACCCCCACAACUCACCCUGGGCCAAUCAGCGACAGCGACACAGAGAGCGAGCGGGAGCGGAGUCGGAGGAAACAAGAGGAGAUGAGGUGAGCACAGCGGCUCCACCACUGGGCCCCGGUGUCUCUCGCCCGCCGCCGGCUCGCUCUCUUGUUCAACUGUUGCCCCCUGCUGGCCGUCGGGGGUACGGCGCCCCGACGGGAUUGAGACGUCGACAGUAGACAGGCCGGUUCCCUCCACCGCAGGGACAGACAGGCAGGGAGAUG